ACUGCUAUGCAAUUCGAGAUAUAUGUAGUGUAAUAUCUGUUCUUAUCACUUAUUUAAUGCGUCCUCCACCCGAGGACCAUAUAUGAAAUGGAUUUUUAGGCCUGGGAGUCGUCGGUAGAGGGGCUUGCUCCGUCUGCUCCACGCAUUGACCAGGUAGUGCAUUGCCUCCUGGCACGGUGCCCAGGGA